rnacentral:rRNA from 1 species
CACGUAGGGGGCGAGCGUUGUCCGGAUUUAUUGGGCGUAAAGAGCUCGUAGGCGGUUCGGUAAGUCGGGUGUGAAACCUCCAGGCUCAACCUGGAGUCGCCACUCGAUACUGCUGUGACUAGAGUCCGGUAGGGGAGCGUGGAAUUCCUGGUGUAGCGGUGAAAUGCGCAGAUAUCAGGAGGAACACCGGUGGCGAAGGCGGUUCUCUGGGCCUGUACUGACGCUGAGGAGCGAAAGCGUGGGGAGCAAACAGG